rnacentral:pre_miRNA from 1 species
CGUCCGGAAAUACUUGUCAUCAAAAUGGAUAAAAGGGAUGUAUCUAGAUGUAUUUUAGUUUUAGAUACAUCCCUUUUUGUCCAUUUUGAUGACAAUAUUUUCGGACG